rnacentral:lncRNA from 1 species
GUUUAUUAGGUAAACUCAUCAGUAGUGCUAGAUACAGUAUCGGGAUUGGUAGAUCCAAUUCUACUCCGUGUUGUAGUCUACAGCCUCACCUCCGGUACUGUGUGCAGUUUUGGGCACCACAAUAUAAGAAGGACAGAAAACUAUUGGAGAGUGCCCAAAGGAGGGCUAUGAAGACGGUGAAGGGCCUAGAGGGCAAGAUGUGUGAGUAUCGGCUGAGGGCCCUGGGUAUGUCCAGCCCAGAGCAGCGCAGGCCGAGGGGAGGCCUCAUGGCGGCCUGCAGCUCCCUCACGAGGGGAGCGGAGGGGCAGGCGCUGGGCUCUGCUCUCUGGGGACAGCGACAGGACCCGAGGGGACGGCAUGGAGCUGGGACAGGGGAGGGUCAGGCUGGGUGUUAGGGAAAGGUUCUGCACCCAGAGGUGGUCGGGCACUGGGACAGGCUCCCCAGGGCAGUGGUCACAGCACCGAGCCUGCUGGAGUUCAAGGAGCGUUUGGACAACGCCCUCGGGCAUAGGGUCUGAUUUUUGUGUGGGCCUGUGUGGAGCCAGGAGUUGGAUUUGAUGAUCCUUGGGGUUCCCUUCCAACUCGGGAUAUUCUAAGAUUCUAGUGACUAAGUGGCCAGUUGAGCUGAAAACUGAUUUGGAAAAAAUAAGGGAACAGGCACCUAAAUCACCCUGAUGGGAUAAGGAAUGUGAUGGAUUGAAAUGGAAGAACCAAAGAGGAGAGUGUUGGGCAGUGGCAUGUGGGCUGAAUAAGGUGAAUAUAGGAAGGGCUUAUUCACUUGUUUGUGUUGGAUAAGUGAAUUCGGUGCUUGUGGAAGAUGCCAGAUGGGCUGCAUGGGAGCCAGGAAGUCUCUCUCUCCACCAAGCAACAGCAGCGUGUGCUUCCCAAACUGAGCUGCCAGAGUGCCUUAGACCUGAGCCGUAGAUUACCACACUCCAGAGACACCUGUUGUAACUGGAAACAGCCACUGUUAUGUGCUAACCUGAAGUAUCUGAGAAGUUUCACACCCAAAAGGAGAAACACCCUCUGCCAUCACAGCCCUCAACCAGACUGCUGUUCUAAGGGAUGUUGA